rnacentral:rRNA from 1 species
CCUACGGGAGGAGGCAGCAGUGGGGAAUAUUGGGCCAUGGGCGGAAGCCUGACCCAGCGACGCCGCGUGGGGGAAGAAGUCUUUCGGGAUGUAACCCUUGUUGUACGGGACGAAGGAAGUGACGGUACCGUACGAGGAAGCCCCGGCUAACUACGUGCCAGCANCCCGCGGUAAU